rnacentral:rRNA from 1 species
AGUGAACGCUGGCGGUAGGCCUAACACAUGCAAGUCGAACGGCAGCACAGUAAGAGCUUGCUCUUACGGGUGGCGAGUGGCGGACGGGUGAGGAAUACAUCGGAAUCUACUUUUUCGUGGGGGAUAACGUAGGGAAACUUACGCUAAUACCGCAUACGACCUACGGGUGAAAGCAGGGGAUCUUCGGACCUUGCGCGAUUGAAUGAGCCGAUGUCGGAUUAGCUAGUUGGCGGGGUAAAGGCCCACCAAGGCGACGAUCCGUAGCUGGUCUGAGAGGAUGAUCAGCCACACUGGAACUGAGACACGGUCCAGACUCCUACGGGAGGCAGCAGUGGGGAAUUUUUGACAAUGGGCGGAAGCCUGAUCCAGCCAUACCGCGUGGGUGAAGAAGGCCUUCGGGUUGGAAAGCCCUUUUGUUGGGAAAGAAAAGCAGCAGGUUAAUACCCCGCUGUUCUGACGGUACCCAAAGAAUAAGCACCGGCUAACUUCGUG